UAAUUUGUGAUGUAAUUGGUUAGCAUAAGAGAUUUUGAUUCUCUCUGUUCAGGUUCGAGUCCUGACAAAUUAA
rnacentral:tRNA from 1 species